rnacentral:lncRNA from 1 species
CGUUGUCAUACCAAGCAAUCACCUUGACCAUGUCGUCGCCCAUCACCAUGGUCAGCGACGAAUCGACGGUCGACGAUACAUCGCUGCAGCGGAAGUCCACGGAGACAAGAGGCUCGUCGCAGACGGAGAGGAUGCCCUUCAGUUCUUUGUCGGCAGCAUCUCGGAACGCGGCAUUGACCUCCUCGGCGAAGGUCUUCUUGGAUACUUGCACAACAAGGUCGACGACCGAGACGUUAGGGGUGGGCACACGGAGGGCGAUUCCGUUGAGUUUGCCCUUGAGGGAGGGGAGAACCAGGGCGACGGCCUUCGCGGCGCCGGUGGAGGUGGGGACUAUGUUGAGCGCAGCGGCUCGCGCACGACGGAGGUCGCGGUGGCUCGCAUCAAGCAGCCUUUGGUCCCCGGUGUAGGAGUGAGUGGUGGUCAUGGUUCCCUUGAUGAUUCCUGUCAUGGGUUUGGAUGGCAGAAACCAUGUUACGUUCCCAUGCAACAAGAAAAGCUAACGAUAGCACAUCUCAUAAGUUAGCUAUUAUAUAUCAUCAUGAAAACUCAAAACAGCAAUCAUGAAUCCCACAUUUGAAACCACAUAAUAUACCCUAUGAAGAUCACAAAACACGAAGCCCAAUAUAAUUAGCACAAGCAUGAGUAGACCAUGAGAGUCGAUCAAUACUGUAUCUGUCAAUCUCAAAUGCACUACUGCAUGAAUUCGUCGAGUGACAAUUACCUAUCUUCUAUUAAGAUCUUAGAGGGCAUGAAGAAGUUCCUAUAUGACAUUUCUGAUAGACAAGAAAUAUGAACCAUGAGUCUUGUACAACUAGCAUCGUCCUAUGCUUGGUGUAGUGGCAUUAAUGGAAGCUUACCUGAUGCUCAUGCAGAAUUGAACAAAGUUUUAUAAGCUAUAAACAUAGUUAUUUGACAUCUCUUCUCCAUUCCAAUGUUCAGCGAGCUGCAAAGGGUCAAGUUUAACUUGAUAACAACAGAAAUGUAGUAAGUAAUCAGAACAUGUUCUGCAAGAUGCUUGAUUGUGUUUGUCUUUGACAGCUUUAAGAUUCGUUAUGGAGAUAUCACAAUGUCUUUUUUUGUCAUAUUGUCUUUAACUGAUGAGACCAUUGCCCACUGGAAAUGAGCCAUUUCAUUUAUCCCCUAGUGAGCAGACCUAUCUCCAUCCUUUCCUAACAUCACAACUAAGAAAUCCAUUCCUAAUCUAUACAGAAAAUUUAGGAGUGUCUUCAGAGGAAACAGUAGCUCACCUGCCCAAAAAAAAGGGGCCCCAAAAACAGUAGUGGCAUUAAGUAAUUGUAGUUCAUCAGUUAAUCUAAUAUGGGAUUUAUGGUUUCAUGUGAUGCAAUGAAUUUAAUGCUCCCGAAAGAAUGUUUUAAGAAGUUCCUCUGUACACUCAAAAUUUGAAGAGUUCAAAUUUCUAGUGUCCAUCCCCUGUAUCAUCUUUUGUGGGAAUGUGAGUGUGACAGCAGAAGGUGCAGAGCAAUGCAGAAGAAACAAAUACGCAAUAUCUUCAAGAAGCAUACAUCCAAUGGAUUCAAAAGCACAUAACCUCUCUAAAGGAACAAAUCGGUAGAAAUAUAACUACAAAGCUUCUAAUUCUUGGACCAAAGGUUGCAUCUCAUCAUAAAGAAAGGUAUGUAGCGGAAUGACGAGCAGGUUUCUUAGAAGAAGCAAAAGCAGGCUAUGCUUUAAACACGAACAGGACACCUUUCAUGAUAGAAAUGAAUUAAUGGAAGUUUUCUGUCAUUAUUAUACUACUCGAAGAAACUAAAAAGACCUCUUAUAGUUUCAACCUCGGAUCCAACUGUAAACAAAGACAUGAUGCAACUGUAAACAGAGGUCAUGGCAUCUCGUAAUAGCAGGCUAGCAGAGCAAAGAUGAAAGGCUCACCAAACUUCUGGUCAAGGAUCUUGACGAAGGGGGCGAGGCAGUUGGUGGUGCAGGAGGCGUUGCUGAUGAUGGGCUCAUCGGGGUUGUACGCAUCCUCGUUGACGCCCACCACGUAGGUGGGGAUGUCACCUUUGCCCGGGGCGGUGAUGAGCACCUUCUUGGCGCCGGCCUGGAUGUGCUUCCCUGCUCCCUCCCUGUCCACGAACACCCCCGUCCCUUCGAUCACCAAAUCUAUUCCCAACUCGCUGCACACACACGAGAGUCAGAGACAACGCCAACAGUAUUGACUUACUGCAACGAUCUACGAAUGAGCAUGCACGCAGUGAGAGGAAGGGACGUGAACAUACCCCCACGGAAGGUUGGCGGGGUUGCGGUUGGAGACGACCUUGAUGACCUUGCCGUCGACCGAGAUGGCGGAGUCACCCUCGGGCUUGACGUUGGCUUCGAAGAUGCCGAGGGUGGAGUCGUACUUGAGGAGGUGGGAGGCCUGCUUGACGCCUCCGGUGUCGUUGAUGGCCACCACGUCCAGGGGCGAGUCCUUGCGCCCGUGCCAGCACCGCAGGAAGUUGCGCCCGAUGCGGCCGAACCCGUUGAUGGCCACCUUUACCUUCGCCUCCGCCGCGCCCUUCCGGUACCCUCCGCUGCUGCCCACCUGCGGCGCCGCCACCACCACCACCACCACCAGAGAAACCCAUAAUCAUUUCGUCAGGCUUCCCGCCGGGAAAGAAGAACAAAUUAAACGACUGAAGCAGCCCAAGAUUUGGACCAAAUGUAUAAAUUAUGUGGCAAUUACUAAUAAAUUAUUCCAUAUCCUACAAUCAUCGACAUAUCCUAUAACACUGCAUAAAUUAACAUUAAGAUACAAUCGUACGCCAGAAUUAUUAUAUAUUUUAUAUAUACUACUUGUCUGAUCAAUGCUUUCUUGUACUGACUCGAUUUCGGAUUCGGGUCCCAAGUAGUGCACAUUCUCCAACUCCAAACCCGCUCGUGCCCGGGUGACAUGCCCCACAUCCUCUAAUUGGGACUUACAGUUCUGUACGUGAAGCAUCGCUCUUACGCUAUGUUCGAUACCUUAACACAGGCAUUCCCUAAAGGUUGCAUCUUCUUACAUGAGAUAUACAGUGAGGUAGAAACUCAUUAGAACAAUCGGUGAUACUGACGAUUUUACUAUCCACCAUGGCAAUCGUCACUUCAAAUUGAAUUCACUGGACGAUAUGUUGAAAACUAAGAAGUAGUAGUUAAGCCGUGCAGGAAACAUGCGAGGAAGUGCAAGAGAAAAAUAGCUCACCGCUGAGGUUCUAAAAGCGACGACGGAAAGGAAGUCAUCGGAGGAGUUGAUCCUUCUCAAGGGAAUCGAAGAGGAAGCACUCCUUAGUCCCGAGAAGUCCGAGAAUCCCUUGCCCUG